rnacentral:rRNA from 1 species
AGGAAAAGAAACCAACAGGGAUUGCCCUAGUAACGGCGAGUGAAGCGGCAACAGCUCAAAUUUGAAACCUGGCGCUCGCGUCCGGAUUGUAAUUUGCAGAGGAUGCUUCUGGGCAGCGGCCGGUCUAAGUUCCUUGGAACAGGACGUCAUAGAGGGUGAGAAUCCCGUAUGCGACCGGCGCGCACCCUCCACGUAGCUCCUUCGACGAGUCGAGUUGUUUGGGAAUGCAGCUCUAAAUGGGAGGUAAAUUUCUUCUAAAGCUAAAUAUUGGCCCGAGACCGAUAGCGCACAAGUAGAGUGAUCGAAAGAUGAAAAGCACUUUGGAAAGAGAGUUAAAAAGCACGUGAAAUUGUUGAAAGGGAAGCGCUUCCCACCAGACUCCGCGGCGGUGUUCCGCCGGCCUUUUGGCCGGUCCACUCGCCGCCGCGGGGCCAGCAUCGUCUGGGGCCGCCGGAUAAGACCGUCAGAAUGUAGCUCAUUGAGUGUUAUAGCUGGCGGUGAUGCGGCGCGCCCCGGGCGAGGUCCGCGCUUCGGCAAGGAUGCUGGCGUAAUGGUGGGCAGCGGCCCGUCUUGAAACACGGACCAAGGAGUCUAACAUCUAUGCGAGUGUUCGGGUGUCAAACCCCUACGCGUAAUGAAAGUGAACGGAGGUGGGAGCUUCGGCGCACCAUCGACCGAUCCUGAUGUCCUCGGAUGGAUUUGAGUAAGAGCAUAGCUGUUGGGACCCGAAAGAUGGUGAACUAUGCCUGAAUAGGGUGAAGCCAGAGGAAACUCUGGUGGAGGCUCGCAGCGGUUSUGACGUGCAAAUCGAUCGUCAAAUUUGGGCAUAGGGGCGAAAGACUAAUCGAACCAU